UACAGCGGUCCCAAGCGUUGUUCGGAUUCACUGGGCGUAAAGGGUGCGUAGGCGGUCGGAUAAGUCUGACGUGAAAUCUCCGGGCCUAACCCGGAAACUGCGUUGGAAACUAUCUGGCUAGAGGAAUGGAGGGGAGACUGGAAUACUUGGUGUAGCAGUGAAAUGCGUAGAUAUCAAGUGGAACACCAGUGGCGAAGGCGAGUCUCUGGACAUUUCCUGACGCUGAGGCACGAAAGCCAGGGGAGCAAACGGG
rnacentral:rRNA from 1 species